rnacentral:rRNA from 1 species
CAGCCGCCGCGGUAAAACGUAGGUGGCGAGCGUUGUCCGGAAUCAUUGGGCGUGAAGGGAGCGCAGGCGGGCAUGUAAGUCUUUCUUAAAAGUUCGGGGCUCAACCCCGUGAUGGGAAAGAAACUACAUGUCUUGAGUACAGGAGAGGAAAGCGGAAUUCCCAGUGUAGCGGUGAAAUGCGUAGAUAUUGGGAGGAACACCAACGGCGAAAGCACUCUGCUGGGCCGACACUGACACUGAGAGACGAAAGCUAGGGGAGCAAAUGGGAUUAGAUACCCCCGUAGUCCCUGUCUCUUAUACA